UGUACUGGGGGAUAGCCUUUAGAAAUGAAGAUUAACACCCCAUAGCAUUAUAGAUUCGCAUGAUGAAAUAAUUAAAGGUUACGGUACAAGAUGAGUAUGCGUCCUAUUAGCUAGUUGGUGUGGUAACGGCACACCAAGGCAACGAUAGGUAGGGGCCCUGAGAGGGGGAUCCCCCACA
rnacentral:rRNA from 1 species